rnacentral:rRNA from 1 species
GAUGAACGCUGGCGGCGUGCCUAAUACAUGCAAGUCGAGCGAAGGGACGAUAAGCUUGCUUGUCUGAUUUUAGGGGCGGACGGGUGAGUAACACGAGCAUAACCUACCUAUAAGUCUGAUAUAACUUCGGGAACGCGGAUCUAAUACCGGAUAAUAUUUGGACCCGCAUUGUUCAGAAGGAAAAGAUUUUCUGUCUUUCACUGGCAGAUGGACUCUCGCCGCAUUAGCUAGUUGGUAAGGUAACGACUUAACAAGGCAACGAUGCAUAGCCGACGUGAGAGAGUGAUCGGCCACACUGGAGCUGGAACACGGUCAAGAGUACUACGGGAGGCAGCAGUAGGGAAUCGUACGCAGUGGGCGAAAGCCUGGCGGAGCAACGCCGAGUGAGUGGUGAAGGCCCUCGGAUCGUAAUACUCUGUUAUUAGGUAAGAACCUAUGUGUAAGUAAAUGUGCACAUAGUGACGGUACCUACUCAGAAAGCAACGGCUAACUACGUG